GGUCAAGUGAAGAAGCGCAUACGGUGGAUGCCUUGGCAGUCAGAGGCGAUGAAAGACGUGGUAGCCUGCGAUAAGCUUUGGGGAGUCGGCAAACAGACUGUGAUCCAGAGAUCUCUGAAUGGGGGAACCCACUCAGCAUAAGCUGAGUAUCUUGUACUGAAUACAUAGGUGCAAGAGGCGAACCAGGGGAACUGAAACAUCUAAGUACCCUGAGGAAAAGAAAUCAACCGAGAUUCCCUUAGUAGUGGCGAGCGAACGGGGACCAGCCCUUAAGUUGAUUUGAGAUUAGUGGAACGCUCUGGAAAGUGCGGCCAUAGUGGGUGAUAGCCCCGUACACGAAAAUCUCUUGUCAAUGAAAUCGAGUAGGACGGAGCACGAGAAACUUUGUCUGAAUAUGGGGGGACCAUCCUCCAAGGCUAAAUACUACUGACUGACCGAUAGUGAACCAGUACCGUGAGGGAAAGGCGAAAAGAACCCCGGAGAGGGGAGUGAAAUAGAACCUGAAACCGUAUGCGUACAAGCAGUGGGAGCCUACUUUGUUAGGUGACUGCGUACCUUUUGUAUAAUGGGUCAGCGACUUAUAUUCAGUGGCGAGCUUAACCGAAUAGGGGAGGCGUAGCGAAAGCGAGUCUUAAUAGGGCGUUUAGUCGCUGGGUAUAGACCCGAAACCGGGCGAUCUAUCCAUGGGCAGGUUGAAGGUUAGGUAACACUGACUGGAGGACCGAACCGACUACCGUUGAAAAGUUAGCGGAUGACCUGUGGAUCGGAGUGAAAGGCUAAUCAAGCUCGGAGAUAGCUGGUUCUCCUCGAAAGCUAUUUAGGUAGCGCCUCAUGUAUCACUCCAGGGGGUAGAGCACUGUUUCGGCUAGGGGGUCAUCCCGACUUACCAAACCGAUGCAAACUCCGAAUACCUGGAAGUGCCGAGCAUGGGAGACACACGGCGGGUGCUAACGUCCGUCGUGAAAAGGGAAACAACCCAGACCGUCAGCUAAGGUCCCAAAGUCAUGGUUAAGUGGGAAACGAUGUGGGAAGGCUUAGACAGCUAGGAGGUUGGCUUAGAAGCAGCCACCCUUUAAAGAAAGCGUAAUAGCUCACUAGUCGAGUCGGCCUGCGCGGAAGAUGUAACGGGGCUCAAACCAUGCACCGAAGCUACGGGUGUCAUCUUUGAUGACGCGGUAGAGGAGCGUUCUGUAAGCCUGUGAAGGUGAGUUGAGAAGCUUGCUGGAGGUAUCAGAAGUGCGAAUGCUGACAUGAGUAACGACAAUGCGAGUGAAAAACUCGCACGCCGAAAGACCAAGGUUUCCUGCGCAACGUUAAUCGACGCAGGGUUAGUCGGUCCCUAAGGCGAGGCUGAAAAGCGUAGUCGAUGGAAAACAGGUUAAUAUUCAUGUACUUCCAGUUAUUGCGAUGGAGGGACGGAGAAGGUUAGGCCAGCCUGGCGUUGGUUGUCCAGGUUUAAGGUGGUAGGCUGAAAUCUUAGGCAAAUCCGGGAUUUCAAGGCCGAGAGCUGAUGACGAGUUGCCUUUAGGCGACGAAGUGGUUGAUACCAUGCUUCCAAGAAAAGCUCCUAAGCUUCAGAUAACUGGGAACCGUACCCCAAACCGACACAGGUGGUUAGGUAGAGAAUACCAAGGCGCUUGAGAGAACUCGGGUGAAGGAACUAGGCAAAAUGGCACCGUAACUUCGGGAGAAGGUGCGCCGGCGAGGGUGAAGGACUUGCUCCGUAAGCCCAUGCCGGUCGAAGAUACCAGGCCGCUGCGACUGUUUAUUAAAAACACAGCACUCUGCAAACACGAAAGUGGACGUAUAGGGUGUGACGCCUGCCCGGUGCCGGAAGGUUAAUUGAUGGGGUUAGCGCAAGCGAAGCUCUUGAUCGAAGCCCCGGUAAACGGCGGCCGUAACUAUAACGGUCCUAAGGUAGCGAAAUUCCUUGUCGGGUAAGUUCCGACCUGCACGAAUGGCGUAACGAUGGCGGCGCUGUCUCCACCCGAGACUCAGUGAAAUUGAAAUCGCUGUGAAGAUGCAGUGUAUCCGCGGCUAGACGGAAAGACCCCGUGAACCUUUACUAUAGCUUUGCACUGGACUUUGAAUUUGCUUGUGUAGGAUAGGUGGGAGGCUUUGAAGUGGGGACGCCAGUUCUCAUGGAGCCAUCCUUGAAAUACCACCCUGGCAACUUUGAGGUUCUAACUCAGGUCCGUUAUCCGGAUCGAGGACAGUGUAUGGUGGGUAGUUUGACUGGGGCGGUCUCCUCCCAAAGAGUAACGGAGGAGUACGAAGGUGCGCUCAGACCGGUCGGAAAUCGGUCGUAGAGUAUAAAGGCAAAAGCGCGCUUGACUGCGAGACAAACACGUCGAGCAGGUACGAAAGUAGGUCUUAGUGAUCCGGUGGUUCUGUAUGGAAGGGCCAUCGCUCAACGGAUAAAAGGUACUCCGGGGAUAACAGGCUGAUACCGCCCAAGAGUUCAUAUCGACGGCGGUGUUUGGCACCUCGAUGUCGGCUCAUCACAUCCUGGGGCUGAAGCCGGUCCCAAGGGUAUGGCUGUUCGCCAUUUAAAGUGGUACGCGAGCUGGGUUUAGAACGUCGUGAGACAGUUCGGUCCCUAUCUGCCGUGGACGUUUGAGAUUUGAGAGGGGCUGCUCCUAGUACGAGAGGACCGGAGUGGACGAACCUCUGGUGUUCCGGUUGUCACGCCAGUGGCAUUGCCGGGUAGCUAUGUUCGGAAGAGAUAACCGCUGAAAGCAUCUAAGCGGGAAACUUGCCUCAAGAUGAGAUCUCACUUGGAUCUUGAAUCCCCUGAAGGGCCGUCGAAGACUACGACGUUGAUAGGUUGGGUGUGUAAGCGCUGUGAGGCGUUGAGCUAACCAAUACUAAUUGCCCGUGAGGCUUGACCAU
rnacentral:rRNA from 1 species